UAGAAGGCCAAGUGCUCUUUCAAGGACCAUCAAAGCUAAAGGGAGCCUUUCAUUUCACGUUAACCAGAAGCUGAAUCAAUUGCUAAAGACAUGGUAAAAAGUUUAAAGAUAUUUUUCUGAAUACUCCUGCUACAGGAGGAGCAAUUCAGCACAGCGCCAGUAAGUAGCAGUCAUGGAGGAAUCUCAGAAUGUUGGUGGUUGCUGAGCAAGCUGGACUAUCUUUACUCAUAUUUGUUGGAAUGGGAGCAGAUCCCAUGAAGAACUUUGAAUGAGAAACUUUGCAAAGAUCUGAUAUUUGAUAAUGCUUCCCCCCCUCCUCUGCAUUGAGACUUCAGAGCAGACAGUAGAUGACUUCAGGGAACUUGAAAGCAUAUUGAAGAAGAAGAAUGCCCAAGUGAUCUUUUCUGAGAAACUUCCUGUCCCAUGAAUGAAGACAGAAGGCAGAAGUAAACCGCUGGCUAGGAUGGAGUCCUGUUCCUAGAAAGGAGAGAAUAAGACAGAGGGAGCUGUACAUCCUGUUGACUCAACUCUGAACCUGCAUGCUGCAAUCUAGAGAAAACAUCUGGAUAAAAUUACAAACAAGAGUGUUAAGUUACCGAACAACACAUCUUCCUGGCAAGUCCACAUUCAAACUUUGGCUAUACAAUUUGUAGAUUGAUUAGACAUUUUAUUAUUAUUUUAUGGGGCAGUUCAAGAAACAAGGUCAGUCUGCUUGGAAUUUUUACAAGAAAAUAGCUAAUAAAAACAUAUUAAACUUUUGGCAAUGCCAGAAGUUUGUACUGUGUAUGGGAGCAUGAAGAUGUGAGCUACAGCACUGGUUCAGUGCAUCAAUCAGUGUGAUUAUAAUGUUAAUGUCUGAGCGGUAACACUUGGAUAUGAGUGUCUGGACAGAAUUCAGGAUCUCAAGAAGAGUUUUUCUGUUUCCCAGUGACAGCUGCUGUCCAAAUCAAACCACUUUUUUUGGGUAGUAACAUUUAUAUCA